ACGGGUGAGUAAUGCCUAUGAAUCUGCCUGGUACUGGGGGACAACGUUUCGAAAGGAACGCUGAUACCACAAACGUCCUACGGGAGAAAACAGGGGACCUUCAGGCCUUGCGCUAUCGCAUGAGCCUAUGUCGGAUUAGCUUGUUGGUGAGGUAAUGGCUCACCCUCGCCACGAUCCCUAUCUGGUCUGAGAGGAUGAUCAUGCCCACUGGAACUGAAACACAGACCAGACUCCUACUGGAGGCAGCAGUGGGGAAUAUUGAACAAUGGGCGAAAGCCUGAUCCAGCCAUGCCGCGUGUGUGAAGAAGGUCUUCGGAUUGUAAAUCACUUUAACUUGGGAGGAAGGGCAGUAAGCUAAUACCUUGCUGUUUUUGACAUUACCGACAGAAUAAGAACCGGCUAACUCUGUGCCCGCAGCCGCGGUAAUACAGAGGGUGCAAGCGUUAAUCGGAAUUACUGGGCGUAAAGCGCGCGUAACUGGUUUGUUAAGUUGGAUGUGAAAGCCCCCUCGCUCAACCUGGGAACUGCAUCUGAAACUGGACUGCUAGAG
rnacentral:rRNA from 1 species